CGGCGUCGUACGUCACUGGGCUAUUGUCGCCGUUUCGUUGUUUUUCCCGAGUCGCGCGGCGCGAACGCGAGCUCGUAGCCCACCAGAACGAGUCCAUACGGGCAUGCGAACAGAAGCGGAAGCAGCCCAAGUAUAUUUUUAUAUAGUGCGAUUAGUGGACUGUAAAAGGUAAAAUCGUUUGUGCUCUAUAUAAUAAGUAAAACGAAACUCAAAAUAUUUUCUCGCCCCACCUGGAAAUACGUGGAGACGAGGGCGUCAUUACAGACGCGGCGGAUCGACACGACACAGGGUCGUGGCUCGAUUGCAUCGAAAGGUGCGACACCGCGCACGAGGCACGGAAGCUUCACAAAACAACCCUAAAAUGCAAUGGCUGAUCUGGUACGAGUAAACUAUUGUCAGAUAUAUGAAAAAUCAACGUUGGGCAUUUUAUUUUCAGUAACUCCUGCUUGCACAAGUCACCAUUUUGCUUGUGAUGUACGUAUGAUUUGGCAUCUAAAACAAUCAUCUUGCGGAUGCUCUCCGGAUACAUGGCGGCGAGGAAAAGCGCCGUGACUGCACCAUCGAA
rnacentral:lncRNA from 1 species